rnacentral:rRNA from 1 species
CCUACGGGAGGCAGCAGUGAGGAAUAUUGGUCAAUGGACGAGAGUCUGAACCAGCCAAGUAGCGUGAAGGAUGACUGCCCUAUGGGUUGUAAACUUCUUUUAUAAAGGAAUAAAACGAGGCACGUGUGCCUUUUUGCAUGUACUUUAUGAAUAAGGAUCGGCUAACUCCGUGCCAGCAGCCGCGGUAAUACGGAGGAUGCGAGCGUUAUCCGGAUUUAGUGGGUUUAAAGGGAGCGUAGAUGGGUUGUUAAGUCAGUUGUGAAAGUUUGCGGCUCAACCGUAAAAUUGCAAUUGAUACUGGCAGUCUUGAGUACAGUUGAGGUAGGCGGAAUUCGUGGUGUAGCGGUGAAAUGCUGAGAUAUCACGAAGAACCCCGAUUGCGAAGGCAGCUUACUAAACUGUGACUGACAUUGAUGCUCGAAAGUGUGGGUAUCAAACAGGAUUAGAGACCCUGGUAGUC